AUAAUUACCAACCAUAAACAAUAUCAAUAUCUUUCUAUUCGUUCUUUUUCUUCUUCCUCUAUUAGCCUCUUGUGAAGAAAAAAACGUCUACAUAGUUCAGUUUCGUGGACACAAUGGAAAAAAAGCAUUGCAUGAGAUAGAAGACACCCACCAUUCAUAUUUGCUCUCUGUGAAAAACAAUGAGGAAGAAGCUAAGGUUUCUCGUCUUUACAGUUACCAAUACAGCAUCAAUGGCUUCGCCGCAGUGCUCACUCCUGAGGAAGCCUCCAAACUUUCAGAAUUGGAAGAAGUUGUAUCAGUGUAUAA